rnacentral:rRNA from 1 species
GUGGAGCAAUCCAUGAGUACAGUGGCGCACGGGUGAGUAACACGUGACUAACCUACCUCCGAGUGGGGAAUAACCUAGAGAAAUCUGGGCUAAUACCGCAUAACACUUACGAGUCAAAGCAGCAAUGCGCUUGGAGAGGGGGUCGCGGCAGAUUAGUUAGUUGGCGGGGUAAUGGCCCACCAAGACGAUGAUCUGUAUCCGGCCUGAGAGGGCGCACGGACACACUGGAACUGAAACACGGUCCAGACUCCUACGGGAGGCAGCAGUGGGGAAUUUUGCGCAAUGGGGGAAACCCUGACGCAGCAACGCCGCGUGGAGGAUGAAGCCCCUUGGGGUGUAAACUCCUUUCGAUCGGGAAGAUAAUGACGGUACCGAUAGAAGAAGCCCCGGCUAACUUCGUGCCAGCAGCCGCGGUAAUACGAGGGGGGCAAGCGUUGUUCGGAAUUAUUGGGCGUAAAGGGCGCGUAGGCGGUCUGACAAGUCUUGUGUGAAAUCUCUGGGCUCAACCCAGAGUCUGCAUAGGAAACUGUCGGGCUGGAGUAUGGGAGAGGUGCGUGGAAUUUCCGGUGUAGCGGUGAAAUGCGUAGAUAUCGGAAGGAACACCUGUGGCGAAAGCGGCGCACUGGACCAUAACUGACGCUGAGGCGCGAAAGCUAGGAGAGCAAACAGGAUUAGAUACCCUGGUAGUCCUAGCCCUAAACGAUGAUUGCUUGAUAUGA